rnacentral:rRNA from 1 species
AUUGAACGCUGGCGGCAUGCCUUACACAUGCAAGUCGAACGGCAGCACGGGUGCUUGCACCUGGUGGCGAGUGGCGAACGGGUGAGUAAUACAUCGGAACGUACCUUAUCGUGGGGGAUAACGCAGCGAAAGCUGUGCUAAUACCGCAUACGCCCUGAGGGGGAAAGCGGGGGAUCGCAAGACCUCGCGCGAUUAGAGCGGCCGAUGCCUGAUUAGCUUGUUGGUGGGGUAAAAGCCCACCAAGGCGACGAUCAGUAGCGGGUCUGAGAGGACGAUCGGCCCCACUGGGACUGAGACACCGCCCAGACUCCUGCGGGAGGCAGCAGUGGGGAAUUUUGGACAAUGGGGGCAACCCUGAUCCAGCAAUGCCGCGUGAGUGAAGAAGGCCUUCGGGUUGUAAAGCUCUUUUGUCAGGGAAGAAACACCGGCUCUAACACAGUCCGGGAAUGACGGUACCUGAAGAAUAAGCACCGGCUAACUACGUGCCAGCAGCCGCCGUAA